rnacentral:rRNA from 1 species
UAGGGAAUCUUCCGCGAUGGGCGAAAGCCUGACGGAGCAACGCCGCGUGAGUGAUGAAGGUCUUCGGAUCGUAAAACUCUGUUAUUAGGGAAGAACAAAUGUGUAAGUAACUAUGCACGUCUUGACGGUACCUAAUCAGAAAGCCACGGCUAACUACGUGCCAGCAGCCGCGGUAAUACGUAGGUGGCAAGCGUUAUCCGGAAUUAUUGGGCGUAAAGCGCGCGUAGGCGGUUUUUUAAGUCUGAUGUGAAAGCCCACGGCUCAACCGUGGAGGGUCAUUGGAAACUGGAAAACUUGAGUGCAGAAGAGGAAAGUGGAAUUCCAUGUGUAGCGGUGAAAUGCGCAGAGAUAUGGAGGAACACCAGUGGCGAAGGCGACUUUCUGGUCUGUAACUGACGCUGAUGUGCGAAAGCGUGGGGAUCAAACAGG